UUUCUUCCUCCUCUGGAAAAAAUGCCUACCCAGACUUUGAUGUCCAAUCUAACUAUUUCAAGUGCCGGUAGCCGUUGACUGGCAUUAUAUGAAUCACCACAGUUUCAGCUAAAAAUCUUCUUUAGUGUUGGACUGAAGAAGAAAAGUCACCUACAUGUGGAUGGCUUGAGGAUGCCCGAUGAUCACAGCAUGAUCCUUGAUGUGUUCAAUGUAUUCUACUUUCCAUGGGGCAGAAAGACCUGCAGCCUAAA